GCCGCUCCAUUUUCUUCUCGAAAUGAUUUGAUCUUAUUGCUUUCAAAAUUAUUCUGUUUGCUGUAUGUAGAUUUAGGUCUCGAUGUAACUAUAUAGGGUCUCUGUGAUUUUUUUUUUCUUUUAAUAGAUGUUUGGUGUCGAUUUCUGAAGGAUUUUUUCAUUUGUUCUGCUCUAAACGGAUUGUUCUUCGUAGAUGUACGAAUCGUUCGUGUUAUAUAAUGAGCAAACCGCAAGAGCCGCACCGGCCUUUCUUUCAUUUUGGGAAUCCUUUUCGUGCUAUAUCGCCAAAGGGUUCAAAAUUGUCUUCUAGACUUGUUUUUCUUUUAGCCACUUUUGAGGAUUCCUUGGCACAGAAGCUGAGCAAGCUUACUCCUAAAUCGGAUAAUGACGUAUUUAGCUUCUUAUGGAUGGGAUUAGCAAUGAAGCUGCUGUGUGAAAUUCACAAUGAUGUAAAAACUCUUAUAGGAGAUCUUGAGCUCCCUGUAUCUGACUGGGGUGAGAAAUGGCUAGAUGAGUACCUGGACGUCAGUGUGAAAUUACUUGAUAUAUGCAAUGAUUUUAGCUCUGAUCUCUCACAGUUAAAUCAGGGUCAUCUGAUACUUCGGUGUGCCCUGCACAAUCUGGCUUCUACAUCUUCCAACCAGUUUGUUCCGGCCCGUUCUUCGUUAGAUGCAUGGAAUCAACAUAUUAGUUCCAGAACCUCCAGAGUUGAGAACCGUUCUCCUAUUAUGGACCAUCUUGAGGAAUUACUUGAUCUUCCGAAGGUCAAGAACUCACCCAAAGGCAAGGUUUUGAUGCAAGUGAUGUACGGAGUGAAGGUGGCAACUUUGUUUAUUUGCAGUGUUUUUGCUUAUGCCUUCUCCGGUUCUUCCAAAAGGCUGUUAUCCAUCAAUGUUCCGGAUACAUACAGAUGGGCACAAGCGUUUACUGAAUUACAGAAAAAUGUAAAUAUGGGAAUUAAAAUAAAUCAUUCCAGUGGAAGGUUUACUGCGUUGAGAGAUCUUAAUGCAGUUGAUGAGCGUGUAAAAAAACUGCACUCUAUGAUUCAAGAAAAUAUUGAUGGUGGCAUGAAAGUGGAAGAAUGUCAAAAUUUGAUUGUAGAUUUGAGGAGCGAGGCAGAAAAGCUUACACAAGUGACAGAAGGAAAAGAUCAGAAGCAUGAGUUUUCAUGCGGCGUGUCGCGGUCUAGAACCGCCAACCUUGCCGGUGAACAUUUGCAAGUUAGCUGCAGAAAUUGGCAGUGGGUUUGUGAAUUUUACUUGAUGGUUGGAUCCUUCUCACAUCUUGAACAUUUUCCUCAUCUUAUCUCAUCGUUUUCCUAGUUUUUUUUUGGCAUAUAACUUCAUUUACUCGCUAGUUGCUUUUAAAGAGAAAUCAAGAUGACAUUCUAUGGGUGAGUCCAGCCUAUAUUAAUCAGAACUGUGCUGGAAAGGUAGAAUACAGGUCUUACAGAACAUUUUUAGAUAGAUUUUUAUGCCAUCGGUAACGAUAUAUUGACUCGAUAUUGCUUUUGCUGGUACACAGCAAGAAAGCUUCAUACAUGACUGAUUUGAUAUGAGCAUUUUCUCAACUCGACUGCUUCAAUUGGUAUAGUGUCCUCUGGAAAUUUGCAUGUUGUAAUCUUUUCUUCACCCUGAUCGGGUAACAGACUGCACGGUGGAGGAGUAACCUGGCUGGUUAUUCCCUCAACAUCAGUGCAAGUCCAUGGCUGUUUCUUGGCCUUUGGUGCCAUGCUGAUUGUCACAUUGGAAAUGCAGAUAUCUGUAAAUGAGUCACCCGAAAUUCCCUCCAAUCUCGCUGCCAUUGUUGCGUUUUCAACGACUAUAUCCCUGUAGUUGAUUCCUUGAAUUACAGGCAAUGCGUGGGGGUCGUAUUUCUUAUCAGCAUGUGACCCGUAAUUGCCUGUCAUCCAAAAUGCCCAUUUCAUGGAAUCUGCAGAUGAAGUCGGUCAUUGGUUUAACAAGAUGUAUAAAACUACUUGAAAAGUUCGAGUUGCUUUGGUGAACAAACCUGGGUUGAUACCGUCUGUAUUCGGAGAUCGAACUGGAGCGAUAAUGGUGAUGCCUUGAAUAACAAGGAUGAACAUUCCAAGAUGGAGAAUUCAGCAGGGUCAGAUUCGAUAUCUGUAUAUUGCUGGAAUACAUGAUCUCGAUCAAGUACGGUCGGGUGUACUUAAGCUUUCCCUGAUGAAACAGCUGCCACCAGCGAUCACCCUGACCGUCAAUCGUACCAUUGUUUCCUGAUGUCGAUUGUGUUGCACUCAAAUUUUCAGACACCAGUCAAGAAAAAUGAGAGACAGACAGGAGGGUAUAGCAGUGGGAUAUUUACCUGUGAUGACAACAUCAGUGAGGUUUGUUCCAAAGAUUAAACUGAUGUACCGUCCCCCCGAUGUGUCCCUUCCAUGACCGUAGGAUGGCAGCGGUUCAACCACAGACCAUUCAUUCAGAUCCUAUCAAAGAAGUUGAAAAUCAGUCAAAUUUUAUAGUUGUUGGAUCGACAAGUCUAGUUGAUUUAAGAUUCUCUCGACCCGAUGAUUUUGUUAGAUGGGGAUGGACCUUAACCUUAGAGUCGGUUUAACAACUUUAGCUGACCUAACCACAGCAAGUGUUUGGAUUUCAAAUGGUUAAGGCAUAAUUUAAGGACCUAAUUUACAUGGAAUCCAAUGGAUUUCAAAAUCAUUCAA